GCAGUCGCCGCGGUAAUACGAAGGGUGCAAGCGUUAAUCGGAAUUACUGGGCGUAAAGCGUGCGUAGGCGGUUUGUUAAGUCUGCUGUGAAAUCCCCGGGCUCAACCUGGGAAUGGCAGUGGAUACUGGCAAGCUAGAGUGUGUCAGAGGAUGGUGGAAUUCCCGGUGUAGCGGUGAAAUGCGUAGAGAUCUGGAGGAACAUCAGUGGCGAAGGCGGCCAUCUGGGACAACACUGACGCUGAGGCACGAAAGCGUGGGGAGCAAACAGGAUUAGAUACCCCGGUAGUCCCUGUCUCUUAUAA
rnacentral:rRNA from 1 species